rnacentral:rRNA from 1 species
GUCGCCUCCUAAAAGGUAACGGAGGCGCUCAAAGGUUCCCUCAGAAUGGUUGGAAAUCAUUCAUAGAGUGUAAAGGCAUAAGGGAGCUUGACUGCGAGACCUACAAGUCGAGCAGGGUCGAAAGACGGACUUAGUGAUCCGGUGGUUCCGCAUGGAAGGGCCAUCGCUCAACGGAUAAAAGCUACCCCGGGGAUAACAGGCUUAUCUCCCCCAAGAGUUCACAUCGACGGGGAGGUUUGGCACCUCGAUGUCGGCUCAUCGCAUCCUGGGGCUGUAGUCGGUCCCAAGGGUUGGGCUGUUCGCCCAUUAAAGCGGUACGCGAGCUGGGUUCAGAACGUCGUGAGACAGUUCGGUCCCUAUCCGUCGUGGGCGUAGGAAAUUUGAGAGGAGCUGUCCUUAGUACGAGAGGAC